AACGGCGAGUGAAGCGGCAAAAGCUCAAAUUUGAAAUCUGGCUCCUUCGGCGCCCGAGUUGUAAUUUGCAGAGGAUGCUUCGGGCGUGGCCGCGGUCUAAGUCCCCUGGAACGGGGCGUCGCAGAGGGUGAGAAUCCCGUCUUCGGCCGGCCGGCUUCGCCCAUGUGAAGCUCCUUCGACGAGUCGAGUUGUUUGGGAAUGCAGCUCUAAAUGGGUGGUAAAUUUCAUCUAAAGCUAAAUAUUGGUCGGAGACCGAUAGCGCACAAGUAGAGUGAUCGAAAGAUGAAAAGCACUUUGAAAAGAGAGUUAAACAGCAUGUGAAAUUGUUGAAAGGGAAGCGUUUGCGACCAGAGUCGGCCGCGGGGGUUCAGCGGGCAUUCGUUGCCCGUGCACUCCCCCGCGGGCGGGCCAGCGUCGGUUUCGACGGCCGGUCAAAGGCCCCCGGAAUGUGUCGCCUCUCGGGGCGUCUUAUAGCCGGGGGUGCAAUGCGGCCAGUCGGGACCGAGGAACGCGCUUCGGCACGGACGCUGGCUUAAUGGUCGUAAGCGACCCGUCUUGAAACACGGACCAAGGAGUCUAACAUCCACGCGAGUGUUCGGGUGUCAAACCCGUCCGCGCAGUGAAAGCGAACGGAGGUGGGAACCCUUAAGGGUGCACCAUCGACCGAUCCUGAAGUCUUCGGAUGGAUUUGAGUAGGAGCGUGGCUGUUGGGACCCGAAAGAUGGUGAACUAUGCCUGAAUAGGGUGAAGCCAGAGGAAACUCUGGUGGAGGCUCGCAGCGGUUCUGACGUGCAAAUCGAUCGUCGAAUUU
rnacentral:rRNA from 1 species